rnacentral:rRNA from 1 species
GACGAACGCUGGCGGCAUGCCUAACACAUGCAAGCCGAACGGAGAUUAUUUCGGUAAUCUUAGUGGCGAACGGGUGAGUAACGCGUGGGCAACCUGCCCUCUAGAUGGGGACAACAUCCCGAAAGGGGUGCUAAUACCGAAUGUGACAGCAAUCUCGCAUGAGGAUGCUGUGAAAGAUGGCCUCUAUUUAUAAGCUAUCGCUAGAGGAUGGGCCUGCGUCUGAUUAGCUAGUUGGUGGGGUAACGGCCUACCAAGGCGAUGAUCAGUAGCCGGUCUGAGAGGAUGAACGGCCACAUUGGGACUGAGACACGGCCCAGACUCCUACGGGAGGCAGCAGUGGGGAAUCUUCCGCAAUGGGCGAAAGCCUGACGGAGCAAUGCCGCGUGAGUGAUGAAGGAAUUCGUUCCGUAAAGCUCUUUUGUUUAUGACGAAUGUGCAGAUUGUGAACAAUGAUCUGUAAUGACGGUAGUAAACGAAUAAGCCACGGCUAACUACGUG